UACGUAGGGUGCGAGCGUUAUUCGGAAUUACUGGGCGUAAAGCGUGCGCAGGCGGUUCGCUGUGUCCUGUGUGAAAGCCCCGGGCUUAACCUGGGAAUGGCAUGGGAAACUGGCGGGCUGGAGUGUGGCAGAGGGGGGUGGAAUUCCGCGUGUAGCAGUGAAAUGCGUAGAGAUGCGGAGGAACACCGAUGGCGAAGGCAGCCCCCUGGGCUAACACUGACGCUCAGGCACGAAAGCGUGGGGAGCAAACAGG
rnacentral:rRNA from 1 species